AACGAACGCUGGCGGCAUGCCUAACACAUGCAAGUCGAACGAGACCUUCGGGUCUCGUGGCGCACGGGUGCGUAACGCGUGGGAACCUGCCCUUAUGUUCGGAAUAACUCCCCGAAAGGGGUGCUAAUACCGGAUAAUGUCCUCGGACCAAAGAUUUAUCGCCUUUGGAUGGGCCCGCGUUGGAUUCGCUAGUUGGUAGGGUAAGAGCCUACCAAGGCGACGAUCCAUAGCUGGUCAGAGAGGAAGAUCAGCCACACUGGGACUGAGACACGGCCCAGACUCCUACGGGAGGGAGCAGUGGGGAAUAUAGGAAAAUGGGCGAAAGCCUGAACCAGCAAUGCCGCGUGAGUGAUGAAGGCCUUAGGGUUGUAAAGCUCUUUUAUCCGGGAUGAUAAUGACAGUACCGGGAGAAUAAGCUCCGGCUAACUCCGUG
rnacentral:rRNA from 1 species